UUCAAAUAUAUUAAUCUAUUGUGAUUUGCCAAGUGUCUAUAACUGUCCUCUGGAAUCCUAAGUUCAUGUUAAAUGGGAUAUCACUAAUUCUUUCAUAUAAACUCAUCUUUGAGCUACAGGGCAGUUUAAGGGAACUAAAACAGUUCGUGGAAGAAUAGAGAGGAUGACACUGAAUUCUGCUGCCUAAUGAAUGGCUAAGUCCAGUGUUCUGUGUGGCUUACUCUUCCAGAAAUUACAUCGUGCACAGUGGUUGAAAUCCCAGUUUCAGUAGGGGAAGGAUUUUGAUAACAAUGAAGUGCUACUAAUCUGAGAACAAGCCAACAGCCAAAGAACCCAGACACAAGAAUAUAUCUCACAGUUCAUUUCUCUCAUGAGGCAGGUGUUCCUGCAUGUAAAAGUUUUUUAAUGCAAGCUGCUGGCUGGCAUACAUGUGGAACAAGAAUCCCCAGAGCAUAUUAGAGGACAAACCUGCUUCCCUAGUGAAUCUGGGAACAGCCUCUUCUAGUACAGAGCCACUAUUUAUUCCGCCCUUGUGCUUCCCUUGAGUAUAAGUUAUGAUAUAUCAGCAUUGUCUUUGAGGUCUACUGAAUCUGUGGAUAUGCAGUACUCCGAAGAGUGGAGACGGAAUGAAGUUGAAAGGAUUCAUGAAUAAAAACUUACAGUUGUUUUACAGGAGGCUGCCUCUCUUGCCCUUCAGAAUGGAUAUUGUUUGGAAGUAUUUAGAGACAAAUACUAUUUUCCAGGACCACUGACACUGGGACACAGGCAUCAAGGAAAAAAUAAAACAAAGCAAUCCCAGAUGCAAUGGAAUGAACAGCUAAAAGGCAGGAAGAAGCAGAAAGGAGAGUGCCAGGACACUGGCCUUGUUUUCUCACCCAGGAUUCCUGCAGGACAAGGGCCCAAGCACUGAUCUGAGAUUUCAUGUGUAGGUACAACAGAGCUUACAGCACUUCAUUGGGGUUGGGGGUUGGCUAAGCACUGCUUGAAGAUGGUUAGUUUGUGUUGGACACUAACAUUUUGUUUGUGCUUGAAGAUCUUGUUUGUAUUGCUGUAAGUGAUGCUCAUACUUGCAGAGGCCACUGCUGACCUUGUUUGCAUGGGUUCUGCAUUUGAAGGCAACAAUAGGGUAUGGAGAGGUGACCA
rnacentral:lncRNA from 1 species